AUUGAACGCUGGCGGCAGGCCUAACACAUGCAAGUCGACCGAGUGGCGGACGGGUGAGUAAUGUCUGGGAAACUGCCCGCUGGAGGGGGAUAACUACUGGAAACGGUAGCUAAUCCCCCAUACCAUCGGCUGUACCCAGAUGGGCUUAGCUAGUAGGUGGGGUAACGGAUCACCUAGGCGACGAUCCCUAGCUGGUCUGAGCGGAUUCCCACCCACAAUGGAACUGAGACACGGUCCAGACUCCUACGGGAGGCAGCAGUGGGGAAUAUUGCACAAUGGGCGCAAGCCUGAUGCAGCCAUGCGGCGUGUAUGAAGAAGGCCUUCGGGUUGUAAAGUACUUUCAGCGAGGAGGCGUUACUCGAAGAAGAAGCACCGGCUAACUCCGUGCCAGCCGCCGCGGUAAUAC
rnacentral:rRNA from 1 species